rnacentral:misc_RNA from 1 species
AGUACUGUCAAAAAUAAAUUCCCUUUUCCUAUUAUUGAGGAUUUGUUGGAUGAACUUCAUGGUGCUGAGAUGUUUAGUAAAAUAGAUUUGAGAGCUGGUUAUCAUCAAAUUCGUAUGGAGACUGCGAACAUUCCAAAACUGCCUUUAAGACACAUCAAGCGCAUUAUGAAUUUACUAUUAUGCCCUUUGCGUUGACUAAUGUUGCCCCUGCUACAUUUCACAGGUUGAUGAAUCACAUAUUCCAGAAAUAUCUUGGGAAGUUUGUACUGGUUUUCUUUGAUGAUGUUAUCAUUUACAGCCCAGAUUUAGAAUCUCACUUGGAGCAUUUAGAAGCUGCAUUCAAGGUGUUGCAGGACCAGCAGCUCUUUGCUAAGAUGUCCAAGUGCUUCUUUUAGGCAGGAGCAGGUGGAUUAUCUAGGCCAUAUCAUCUCUAGUGAAGGUGUAGCUACAAAUCCAGAAAAAAUACAGUCCAUACUCUCAUGGCCUAUCCCUUCUUCAGUUAAAGGGUUGAGGAGUUUUCUUAGCCUCACGGAUUACUACAGAAUAUUUAUUAAACAAUAUGGUGUUAUUUGUAAACCAUUAACUGAUUUACUUAAGAAUGAUGAGUUUAAUUGGUCUUCAGCUGCUCAAAAGGCUUUUGAGUCACUUAAGGCAGCUAUGUCUUCAGCACCAGUAUUGUCCCUUCCAGAUUUUACACAAUCUUUUCUGCAACAACAUGACCAUACUAUAGCUUAUAUUUCAAAAGCUUUUGGAGUGAGGAAUCAAGCUCUUUCAGUCUAUGAAAAAGAGCAAUUGGCCAUUACAUAUGCUGUCUCUAAAUGGAGACAUUAUCUAGAGCAAGGUACUUUUUUUAUCAAAACUGAUCAUGAGAGCAUCAAAUUUUUAUUGGAACAAAGGUUGCACACUAACCUUCAGCAAAGAUGGAUUUCGAAGUUACUUGGCCUUGACUAUAAAAUUUUGUACAGAAAGAGAGUUGAGAAUAAGGUUGCCGAUGCAUUGUCUAGAAGAUUUUUUUCACAAGAUGAGCAAUUAUAUGUUGUGACUUCUAGUCCAUUUCCUAUUUGGAUCACUUCUAUAGUGGCUAGUUAUGAGCAAGAUGAUCAAGCUAAAGAGUUAAUUACUCAAUUAGCAGUAGAUGGGACAGCAGUACCUUCUUUUCACUACAAGCAGGGUCUUUUAUAUUACAAGAAUAGGAUAUAUGUCGGAAGUUCUACAACACUAAGGUAGAAAUUGAUCUCCAUUUAUCAUGACUCUCCUUUGGGGGGCCAUUUAGGGAUUAAUAACACCCGCCAGAAGUUGAAGAAAUAUUUUUAUUGGCCUGGCAUGCAAUCUGAUAUUCUGCAGUGGGUGAGACAAUGUGAUCAGUGUGCUAGAUGUAAAACAGAAACUUGUUCUAUGCCAGGGUUGCUCCAACCUUUACCAUUGCCAUCCCAAGCUUGGCAACAUCUCUCCUUGGAUUUUAUUGAGCAAUUACCCAAGUCAAAUGGUAAAGACACUAUCUUGGUAGUGGUUUGUAGAUUUACCAAGUAUGGCCAUUUCCUUCCUCUAGCACAUCCAUUUUCAUCUUCCUCAAUUGCCAAACUCUUUUUGGACAACAUUUAUAAGCUCCAUGGGGCACCUGUUUCUAUUGUGUCUGACAGAGAUAAGCUUUUUACAAGCUUAUUUUGGAAAGAAUUCUUCAAAUGCCUGGGAACCAACCUCUCCUUUAGUACAGCAUACCACCUCCAAACUGAUGGGCAAACAGAGAGGUUAAAUCAGUGUUUGGAAGCUUAUUUGAGGUGCAUGACACAUCUCAAGCCCACUUCUUGGAGUCGGUGGCUCUCCCUUGCUGAGUGGUGGUACAAUACCAGCUAUCUUUCAGCCAUAAAAAUGACUCCAUUUGAGGCUCUC